GCCGCUCAGGAUCAAAGCCUCCACGGGGCGUGCGGCGGGCAACGGAUAGCGGUUUAUCCGGCUGAUUUGAUC
rnacentral:ribozyme from 1 species